CUAGAGGCCUAGGACAUCGCCCUUUCACGGCGGUAACCGGGGUUCGAAUCCCCGUAGGGACGCCA
rnacentral:tRNA from 10 species